rnacentral:rRNA from 1 species
UAGGGAAUCUUCCGCAAUGGGCGAAAGCCUGACGGAGCAACGCCGCGUGAGUGAUGAAGGUCUUCGGAUCGUAAAACUCUGUUAUUAGGGAAGAACAUAUGUGUAAGUAACUGUGCACAUCUUGACGGUACCUAAUCAGAAAGCCACGGCUAACUACGUGCCAGCAGCCGCGGUAAUACGUAGGUGGCAAGCGUUAUCCGGAAUUAUUGGGCGUAAAGCGCGCGUAGGCGGUUUUUUAAGUCUGAUGUGAAAGCCCACGGCUCAACCGUGGAGGGUCAUUGGAAACUGGAAAACUUGGGUGCAGAAGAGGAAAGUGGAAUUCCAUGUGUAGCGGUGAAAUGCGCAGAGAUAUGGAGGAACACCAGUGGCGAAGGCGACUUUCUGGUCUGUAACUGACGCUGAUGUGCGAAAGUGUGGGGAUCAAACAGGAUUAGAUACCCUGGUAGUCCACGCCGUAAACGAUGAGUGCUAAGUGUUAGGGGGUUUCCGCCCCUUAGUGCUGCAGCUAACGUAUUAAGCACUCCGCCUGGGGAGUACGACCGCAAGGUUG